rnacentral:rRNA from 1 species
ACGAACGCUGGCGGCGUGCUUAACACAUGCAAGUCGAACGGAAAGGCCCUGCUUUUGUGGGGUGCUCGAGUGGCGAACGGGUGAGUAACACGUGAGUAACCUGCCCUUGACUUUGGGAUAACUUCAGGAAACUGGGGCUAAUACCGGAUAGGAGCUCCUGCUGCAUGGUGGGGGUUGGAAAGUUUCGGCGGUUGGGGAUGGACUCGCGGCUUAUCAGCUUGUUGGUGGGGUAGUGGCUUACCAAGGCUUUGACGGGUAGCCGGCCUGAGAGGGUGACCGGCCACAUUGGGACUGAGAUACGGCCCAGACUCCUACGGGAGGCAGCAGUGGGGAAUAUUGCACAAUGGGCGGAAGCCUGAUGCAGCAACGCCGCGUGCGGGAUGACGGCCUUCGGGUUGUAAACCGCUUUCGCCUGUGACGAAGCGUGAGUGACGGUAAUGGGUAAAGAAGCACCGGCUAACUACGUU